AUACAUCCACAGGUACACCUCUAAUUGACUCAAAUGAUGUCAAUUAGCCUAUCAGAAGCUUCUACAGCCAUGACAUCAUUUUCUGCAAUUUUCCAAGCUGUUUAAAGGCACAGCCAACUUAGUGAAUGUAAACUUCUGACCCACUGGAAUUGUGAAAUAAUCUGUCUGUAAACAAUUGUUGGAAAAAUGACUUGUGUCAUGCACAAAGUAGAUGACCUAACCGACUUACCAAAAUGAUAGUUUGUUAACAAGAAAUUUGUGAAGUGGUUGAAAAACGAGUUUUAAUGACUCCAACCUAAGUGUCUGUAAACUAGUUUUAAUGACUCCAACCUAAGUGUCUGUAAACUAGUUUUAAUGACUCCAACCUAAGUGUCUGUAAACUAGUUUUAAUGACUCCAACCUAAGUGGAUGUAAACUAGUUUUAAUGACUCCAACCUAAGUGUCUGUAAACUAGUUUUAAUGACUCCAACCUAAGUGUAUGUAAACUUCUGACUUCAACUGUACAUGCACCAUUUCUUCACCAAAUAUGGAGUUGGGGAAACACGUGUGGACCUGAAUUGUGAUAACUGCAGUGGCCAAAACAAGAACAAUUUUGUGCUCUGGUAUUGUGCCUGGCGGACCAUGCUCAUACACAGUCUGGACUUUCACUUCCUGAUCACAGGCCACACCAAGUUUGCCCCUGACUGGUGCUUCGGCCUCAUCAAGCAGCGUUUCAGAAAGACCAGAGUCAACACUGUCUGAGAUUGCUGGUGUUGUGAAGGACAGCACUGUGACAGGGGUCAACAUCCCACAGCUGGUUGGACUGGAGGAUGGUACGAUGCUGGUGGAAAGCUAUGGCUGGCAACAACACCUGACUCUGUACUUCAGGCCGCUGCUACAGGGCAAGCAGUACCAGCACUUCAGCCCCUGACCAAUCCACUCAAAAAAGAAAUGGGCCUGUGGCUGAAUGGAGUUGAGACCUGCUGUAAAGGAUAUUACGCAGCAGCAAAGAAUGGAAGGUAGUUCUGGGACCAUGCCUCAGGACUACCUGGCCUGAUGACUCCUCCUCGCUGUCCCCUGUCCUGCUGCUGCUCCAACUGUUCUGCCUGCGGCUAUGGAACCCUGACCUGUUCUCCUGGCUGUCCUGCUGCUGCUCCAACUGUUCUGCCUGCGGCUAUGGAACCCUGACCUGUUCACCUGGCUGUGCUGCUGCUCCAGUUUCAACUGUUCUGCCUGCGGCUAUGGAACCCUGACCUGUUCACCGGACGUGCUACCUGUCCCAGACCUGCUGUUUUCAACUCUCUCUCUCUACCGAACCUGCAGUCUCAAACUCUGAAUCCUCGGCUAUGAAAAGCCAACUGACAAUUACUCCUGAGGUGCUGACCUGUUGCACCCUCUAUAAUCACUGUGAUUAUUAUUAUUAUUUGGCCCUGCUGGUCAUCUAUGAAAGUUUGAACAUCUUGGCCAUGUACUGUUAUAAUCUCCACCCGGCACAGCCAGAAGAGGACUGGCCACACCUCAGAGCCUGGUUCCUCUCUAGGUUUCUUCCUAAGUUCCUGGCUUUCUAGGGAGUUUUUCCUAGUCACCGUGCUUCUACAUCUGUAUUGCUUGCUGUUUGGGGUUUUAGGCUGGGUUUCUGUACAUUUGAUUGAAAUAGUCUGGGUAGCCAUUUGAUUAGCUGUUCAGGAGUCUUAUGGCUUGGGGGUAGAAGCUGUUAGGUCUUUUGGAUCUAGACUUGCCAUGCGGUAGCAGAGAGAAGAGUCCAUGACUCCCGAGUGGCACAGCGGUCUAAGACACUGCAUCUCAGUGCAAGAGGCAUCACUAUUGUCCCUGGUUUGAAUCCAGGCUGUAUAACAUCUGGCCGUGAUUGGGAGUUCCAUAGGGUGGUGCACAAUUGGUCCCAGCGUCGUCCGGGUUUGGACGGGGUAGGCCGUCAUUGCAAAUAACAAUUUGUUCUUAACUGACUUGCCAAGUUAAAUAACGGUAAAAAUUUUAACAAUUAUUUGUAUGUUUAGCUCACAUAAUAUAAAUGUCUGCAUUAAGAUGUCUGUAAUAUAAUAAACAUGUCAGAAACGAA